GAUGAACGCUGGCGGCGUGCCUAAUACAUGCAAGUCGAGCGAACAGACGAGGAGCUUGCUCCUCUGACGUUAGCGGCGGACGGGUGAGUAACACGUGGAUAACCUACCUAUAAGACUGGGAUAAAUUCGGGAAACCGGAGCUAAUACCGGAUAAUAUAUUGAACCGCAUGGUUCAAUAGUGAAAGACGGUUUUGCUGUCACUUAUAGAUGGAUCCGCGCCGCAUUAGCUAGUUGGUAAGGUAACGGCUUACCAAGGCAACGAUGCGUAGCCGACCUGAGAGGGUGAUCGGCCACACUGGAACUGAGACACGGUCCAGACUCCUACGGGAGGCAGCAGUAGGGAAUCUUCCGCAAUGGGCGAAAGCUUGACGGAGCAACGCCGCGUGAGUGAUGAAGGUCUUCGGAUCGUAAAACUCUGUUAUUAGGGAAGAACAAAUGUGUAAGUAACUAUGCACGUCUUGACGGUACCUAAUCAGAAAGCCACGGCUAACUACGUG
rnacentral:rRNA from 1 species